AAUGAACGUUGGCGGCAUGGAUUAGGCAUGCAAGUCGAGCGAGAAGUGUAGCAAUACACGGAAAGCGGCGGAAGGGAGAGUAAUACGUGGGAAUCUGCCCUUAGACCUGGGAUAGCAGCGGGAAACUGCUGGUAAUACCAGAUAAUGUCUAUGGACCAAAGGUGUGAUUCCGUCUAGGGAUGAGCCCACGUCCUAUUAGCUAGUUGGUAGGGUAAUGGCCUACCAAGGCGAUGAUGGGUAGCGGGUGUGAGAGCAUGACCCGCCUCACUGGGACUGAGACACUGCCCAGACACCUACGGGUGGCUGCAGUCGAGAAUCUUCGGCAAUGGGCACAAGCCUGACCGAGCGACGCCGCGUGCGGGAUGAAGGCCUUCGGGUUGUAAACCGCUGUCGAGGGGGAGCAACUUCCAUAGAGUUAUCUUUAUGGAUUGAGUGAUCCCUGGAGGAAGGACGGGCUAAGUUCGUGCCAGCCGCCGCGGUAACAC
rnacentral:rRNA from 1 species